rnacentral:rRNA from 1 species
UACGUAGGGUGCAAGCGUUGUCCGGAAUUAUUGGGCGUAAAGAGCUCGUAGGCGGUCUGUCGCGUCUGCUGUGAAAACCUGGGGCUUAACUCUGGGCGUGCAGUGGGUACGGGCAGACUAGAGUGCGGUAGGGGAGAUUGGAAUUCCUGGUGUAGCGGUGAAAUGCGCAGAUAUCAGGAGGAACACCGGUGGCGAAGGCGGGUCUCUGGGCCGAUACUGACGCUGAGGAGCGAAAGCGUGGGGAGCGAACAGG